CGCCUGCCCAGUGAACUUUUAACGGCCGCAGUAUCCUAACCGCGCGAAGGUAGCAUAAUCACUUGUUCUUUAAAUGGGGACUUGUAUCAACGGCAUCACGAGGGUUUUACUGUCUCCUCUUUUAAAUCAGUGAAAUUGAUCUUCCCGUGAAGAAGCGGGAAUACCCCUAUAAGACGAGAAGACCCCAUGGAGCUUUAAACCAAAUAGCAACUUAACUAUAAACCCCCUCAUAGUUCCAUAAAGCCAUGCUAUAAGGUUUUUGGUUGGGGUGACCGCGGAGUAAAAUGUAUCCUCCACGACGGAAAGGCCACAAUCUUUAUUUAUGAACCACAAUUCUAAAAACUAGCACACUAACGUACACUGACCCGAUAAUCGAUCAACGGACCAAGUUACCCUGGGGAUAACAGCGCAAUCUACUUCGAGAGCCCAUAUCGACAAGUAGGCUUACGACCUCGAUGUUGGAUCAGGGUAUCCCAGUGGUGCAGCCGCUACUGAAGGUUCGUUUGUUCAACGAUUAAAACCCUACGUGAUCUGA
rnacentral:rRNA from 1 species